rnacentral:rRNA from 1 species
GACGAACGCUGGCGGCGUGCUUAACACAUGCAAGUCGAACGAAGUGGCGAACGGGUGAGUAACGCGUAAUCAACCUGCCCUUCAGAGGGGGACAACAGUUGGAAACGACUGCUAAUACCGCAUACUGAAGGAGGGGAUUGCGUCUGAUUAGCUAGGUGGGGGGGUAACGGCCCACCAAGGCGAUGAUCAGUAGCCGGUUUGGGAGGAGGGACGACCACAUCUGGACUGGGGCAAGGCCCAGACUCCUUCGGGAGGGAGCAGUUGGGAAACUUCCGAAAUGGAGGGAAGGCUGACGCAGCAACGCCGGGGGAGUGAUGGCGGCCUUCCGGUUGGAAAGCUCUGUUAAGCGGGACGCGGUACCGGAAUAGAAAGCCACGGCUAACUACGUGCCAGCAGCCGCGGUAAUAC